CGUACAAUCAGUUUACAGCCAGCGCUCGUGCGAAGUGGAUGUGUUUUGGAUGAUGCUCUCGCUCGAUUAGAGUUUUGUAGAAUAACGUAUCGAAUGUUGACGAACACGCGAGAGAUAAAAGUUCUUUGUUACGAUUGUCGGAAAGUGUGACGACGAGGUGUGUUUACGUGAAGUGACUCUGACGUGAUUGGAGAUAUUUGAUUUCGAAAAGUGACUGAGAAACUUAAGGAAAAAUUAGAUUGAUUUGAAGUGUUGAAACCACAAGACUGAGAAUGGCUGUUGCAUUUUACAUACCCUCGGUCGACGAGGACGAACAACAAGUGAAGCCUAAUCAGGCCUAUCAACAACAGCCACCACAGCAACAACAGCAACAGUCGGGCACGAGUCCGAACGUGUCGCAACAAGUCGGCUCUUCCGACUACGGCCCCCAACACCUGAUGUUGCUGUUCCACGAGAUCCUCAUCGCCUACGCAAGGGAAGCUGUCAACGCCCAGCAGACCAUGGCAGUGUCCGACCCAUCGUCGCCCUGUCUAUUGUGCAAAAAACUGUACUACCUUUUCCGGCGAGCCUACUGACAGCCGUGCGUUACGAAAGGAGAUAACCGCGUUAGCCAAAAACGUGCCACGACUACAGAUUAUACAACAUCUACCACUUAUACUACAACCACCACCAAUACUACUACUAGGAUUAAGCGUCAUGAGUCAGGCAGAAGGAAAAGAGAAACUAGGUCAAGGACUGGUGGCGCAGCCGUCACCACCGGAAUCGUUAAUUGUAAGCGUCCUAAAUGGAACGAGUUGUGAAUUUUGGUGCUAUCAGCGCGCGAGAGAGAUUUUACAAUCACGCUGACUCAUGCUCUUUCAAGACUGAAACGCGUGGGGUCGUGUAUAGGUCUCUCUCUCAGUGCGAAACAUUGUUGAAAUUGGUCAGUUAUACAUAUUGGUUUGGAGAGACACACACAAGAGUCACAUCGCUGCUGAACGACUGAUAAAGUUCAGCCCGUGGAACUCGACCGAUCGAAAGAACUGUUCGGAUUGGUUUCACACUAACAACGAUGAAGUGUUGUUACUUUGGAUAAACUUUGAGGCGCUCUGGAUCCAUCGCCGAACGCAUUUGAAAACAAUUUGCAAACCACUUGUACAUAAGCGCAGUUUUUCUCAGUGUGUAUCAAUAUAUUUUAUAAGUCCAAAUGAGAUAGCUGUGAGAACCAAAGCAUCUGAUCAAAAGACAAACUACAAAUGACAAAGAAUACAAAAUUUCUCUAUUUAAAUGAGUAAGCGUAAGUUUUUUGUCCAAUUUUGUAUCAACGAAUAUGAAAAAAACGGCACAAAAUGUUUGUGACGAAGAAAGGCUAUUUAUAAAUGAUCAAUUUUUGUUUCUUCCACUCGUCAAGUUGUGUUGUGGUGGAGAAAAUGAAAUUGCUAGUUUGAUAAGAAGAGAAGCGUAUUGUGACUGUAGAUUUAAGGUGAAAUAAAAACAAAACAAAGAAAAGCGCAUUGUGAUAUGGAACAACUUCUUUUUUCUUAAUUUUUAAAUAUAACAUUUCUAUACAAACAAACACACACACAAAUGAAUCGAAUCGAUUUAAAAAAUCUAUAGAGGAAGGAAAGCGAUAGAAAUACUGUAAAUAUUUAUUUUAAAAAUUGACAAAAAAGAGUUACAAACAAAUGAAAAAACUUAACAUUACUUUGUGUUUAGCUGUAAGGUUUCCGAGUAUUUUUAUCUUUACACGUAAAUGAAUUUAGUAGAAAUUAGCGAGUAAGUAGCAGCAGCAGCAGCAGCGUAUCGAUGUAAGUUACUGAAAGCGAAAAAAACACAUAAAACUACAAAAAAGUCUACAAUCGAACUCUUAUCCCUGUGUCCCUACCGUAGCUAUUCUCUAGUGUUAAGAUUUUGUCUGUUUGGGGAUGAAUACCCACUGCUAAUAUACUAUUACAAUCAAAAGUAUCGUUUGUAUAUACGACUCGAAUUUGAUAGAUUUUUAAGGUCUUUUGGAAGGCGCCUUGCGGUGGCAAGAUUCGCUUUGUUAGUUUAAAAUUUGUCUGGAGAAAAGAAAACAAAUAAACAAACAAAUCCGGAAAGUAAUACUAAAUCGAAAUUCUACUUUUAUAAAUUCAGAUUUUACUAGUUUAAUUCGCCCCCCUUAGUUUACCAUUAAAUGUAAUUUUUGUUGCCCUCGAAUGAUUGAAAACAAGAUUUCGAAUUGAUUAAAAUA